AGAGUUAAACAGUACGUGAAAUUGUUGAAAGGGAAACGAUUGAAGCCAGUCGUACCUUCGGGUAAUCAGCCUUUUGGGUGCGAUUCUGUAAGGUGUGAAGAGUUAAACGCCUUCAUGUUUUGCAUAUUCGUACUCUUGGGUGUACUUGCCCGUGUGUAAGUUAACAUCAAUUUUGGUGGUCAUAAAAUGACUGGAGGAAUGUAGCUUCGAUCUUGUAUUGAAGUGUUAUAGCCUUCGGUAGAUGUGAUGAUCGGGAUUGAGGAUUGCAACGGAUACCCUUCGGGGCUACUUAUCUGAUCUCUGAUCGUUGCUCUGGUGCCGAAAGCUUGCUUACGGUUAUCAAAGUCGAUGGUCAAUAGGUUAGAAUAGGUUAAAUUCGUUAAGGAUGUUGACGUAAUGGCUUUAAACGACC
rnacentral:ncRNA from 2 species